GAAGAGCGUGGGCGGGGGCGGCGGGGGCGGUGGCGGCGCCGGGUCGCUCGACGAGCCGACCCAGCUGGCGGGCAGGAGGAGGUGCCGGAGGAGGUGGAAGGCGGGCCUCGCAAGGCUCGCGAUGGCGGCGCGGUAGAGGUACUUACCGGCGGUCGACGCGACGGAGGCAGGGUCCGCGAAGGCGAGUCUGGAAGGAGGAGAGUCGAGGCUCCGGGGAUCGGGCCUGUUGCUCCGACGUGACCUUGGCGGCGUUGUCGUCGGGCACGUCCUACGGCAGCUCCUCUUAUUCCACUAACUGUUACCACGGUACCACCCACGGCUCCUACUCGGCCGGCUGGCACCCUUCUCGUGACGGUACAAACUCACGUUGUAGACGAAACUCUACCGGCUGCUGGGCCACCAGUGAAGAACGCCGGUAGAGAAGACGACCGGAACAAACAUGGUCACCGACGUAUAAGUAAGGUGGGUGUUCCUUACGGGACAGACGUUUCCACUCCAGUGACUUCCUUUGUAAUGAGGAUAGAUACCCUCUCCCUUAAGUUGAAGACUACACCUCUUCUUUCAGCGUCUGCUACCGUUACACAGGUCAGGAUUGUAAGGGCGGUCCGGUGUACCCUUGGCCGAGCUCUCAAAAGCUGUUGUCAAGGUAGUAAACGCGGGUUAAAGAGCAUCCGAACCGCUCCGCGUGCCCUAUAAUAGAAGAACCUCUGCGUAAGAACUAGUCGUCUAAUACUGAUCGCGCUCAUCCAAACUUCCCGGAGGUCUUAGUAGACAGGUCCUCUACUAUCUAGUACGAGUGGUCUGACCGGCAGAUUCGGCUUAAUGAUGGUCCUACUCUCGUUCCUCCGACGUUUCCCUUCGUCUUUUAGGAUGUAAACAAAGAAGAAGAUGAGGUCUGUCGCCCGACGGUCCUUCGUCGCGCGGUCUAGGAGGAUCCGCAUCAAGUUCAGGUGAAAGGAGCCUUCCUUAACUAAAUAACGUUGCGGAAUGGGAACAACCGGAACGUUUAUGCCUUUCCAACCGUUGACGUCACUCGCUAGAAUCUUCUUAUAGGUCCGGUUCGGAGGCUCGUAGUUGAAGCAGUUUAAACGGUUUAGUACUCGGCGGUCAACUACCUUAAGUACGACGACGUCGUGGCAGACGUCUAGUUUGAAGAUUAAGUUCGUGUUACCGACACUAAGUCCUCCUACGACGAAAAUGACUUUCGCAUCCUCUUGGAUCGUUACGUCCCAGCAGUUCUUGGGACUCCUCCUCCCCUUCUUCGCUGCGGAAUCCAAGUAACCUACACCUACCACCGCUUUGUGUGGCCUUGUUCUCUUCCGCCAACUUGAUUUCGAUUCUUCCGGCUUGGCUCGUAACGUCUCCGAAGUCAUAACGAGGUCAAAAAUGCGACUAGACACCAACAAGAACGAUGACCCGUUUCUCCGUACAAUUCAGCGUUAUUUCUUCAUAAGGGAAAUGAAGAUACUAUUAGAGU
rnacentral:rRNA from 1 species